AUCAACUUUCGAUGGUAGGAUAGAGGCCUACCAUGGUGGUAACGGGUAACGGGGUGUUAGGGCACGACACCGGAGAGGGAGCCUGAGAAACGGCUACCACAUCCAAGGAUGGCAGCAGGCGCGCAAAUUACCCAAUCCCGACACGGGGAGGUAGUGACAAUAAAUAACAAUACGGGGUUCUUUCGGAUUUCGUAAUUGGAAUGAGUACAAUUUAAAUCUCUUAACGAGGAACAAUUGGAGGGCAAGUCUGGUGCCAGCAGCCGCGGUAAUUCCAGCUCCAAUAGCGUAUAUUAAAGUUGCUGCAGUUAAAAAGCUCGUAGUUGAAUUUCGGGACCAUCAUAUCGGUCGUGCCUAGGUACGUACUGGCAUCGUUGGUUUCUCCCUUCUGACGAACCACGAUGUCAUUUAUUUGGUGUUGUGGGGAAUCAGGACUGUUACUUUGAAAAAAUUAGAGUGUUUAAAGCAGGCUCACGCUUGAAUACAUUAGCAUGGAAUAAUGAAAUAGGACGUUUGAUUCUAUUUUGUUGGUUUCUAGGAUCGACGUAAUGAUUAAUAGGGAUAGUUGGGGGCAUUAGUAUUCAAUUGUCAGAGGUGAAAUUCUUGGAUUUAUUGAAGACUAACUACUGCGAAAGCAUUUGCCAAGGAUGUUUUCAUUAAUCAAGAACGAAAGUUAGGGGAUCGAAGACGAUCAGAUACCGUCGUAGUCUUAACCAUAAACUAUGCCGACUAGGGAUCGGAUGAUGUUAAUUUUUUAAUGACUCAUUCGGCGCCUUACGGGAAACCAAAGUGUUUGGGUUC
rnacentral:rRNA from 1 species